rnacentral:misc_RNA from 1 species
UUUCCGUAGGUGAACCUGCGGAAGGAUCAUUACACGAAGAGGCCUCCAUCGGUCUUUCAACCUUGCCUAUCGUACCCUUUUUGUUGUUCCCUCGGCGGGGUAAAGCCCGCCGGCGGGAAGCUCGAAAAACCCUUUGCAAUCAGCAUCCAAAAACUCUGAUUACAAAACCUUAAAUCGUUACAACUUUCAACAAUGGAUCUCUUGGUUCUG